rnacentral:rRNA from 1 species
GAUGAACGCUGGCGGCGUGCCUAAUACAUGCAAGUCGAGCGAACGGACGAGAAGCUUGCUUCUCUGAUGUUAGCGGCGGACGGGUGAGUAACACGUGGAUAACCUACCUAUAAGACUGGGAUAACUUCGGGAAACCGGAGCUAAUACCGGAUGAUAUUUUGAACCGCAUGGUUCAAAAGUAAAAGACGGCCUUGCUGUCACUUAUAGAUGGAUCCGCGCUGCAUUAGCUAGUUGGUAAGGUAACGGCUUACCAAGGCAACGAUGCAUAGCCGACCUGAGAGGGUGAUCGGCCACACUGGAACUGAGACACGGUCCAGACUCCUACGGGAGGCAGCAGUAGGGAAUCUUCCGCAAUGGGCGAAAGCCUGACGGAGCAACGCCGCGUGAGUGAUGAAGGUCUUCGGAUCGUAAAACUCUGUUAUUAGGGAAGAACAUAUGUGUAAGUAACUGUGCACAUCUUGACGGUACCUAAUCAGAAAGCCACGGCUAACUACGUG